rnacentral:rRNA from 1 species
UACGUAGGUGGCAAGCGUUAUCCGGAAUUAUUGGGCGUAAAGCGCGCGCAGGUGGUUUCUUAAGUCUGAUGUGAAAGCCCACGGCUCAACCGUGGAGGGUCAUUGGAAAACUGGGGAGACUUGAGUGCAGAAGAGGAAAGGUGGAAUUCCCCGGUGUAGCAGUGAAAAUGCGUAGAGAUCGGGAGGAACACCAGUGGCGAAGGCGGCCUUCUGGACCAAUACUGACGCUCAUGCACGAAAGCGUGGGGAGCAAACAGG